rnacentral:lncRNA from 1 species
GAACUACACCAUUGACUGUUCCGCUGUCCUUUUGGAGAACAAGUUAAUGAAUAAAUACCAUUGUGUGAACACAAUUCACUCGCCUCUGCCUCCCUUGUGUUUCGGCAACCCUAGGCCUUAAUACUCCCUCUCUCCCUCUCUCUGUCUCCCUCCCUCUCUCUCGCUCUCUCUCCCCCUCUCUUUCUUUUCUUCCCUCUCUCUCUCCCUCUCUCUGUCUCGUUCCCUCUCUCCCUCUCUGUCUCCCUCUAUCUCUCUUUCUCUCUCUCCCUCUCUCUCUCCCUCUCUCCCUCUCUCUGUCUCCCUCCCUCUCUCUCUCUCUCUCCCACCCUCUCCCUCUCCCUCUCUGUCUCUCCCUCCCUCCCUCUCUGUCCCCCUCUCUCUCUCUCUCUCACUCCCCCUCUCUGUCUCCCUCUAUCAGAGGCGCUGGGUGGUAAACAGACUCUACAGGAGCUGCAGGUGUCUCUGGUUGAUGAUGCCACAUGUCUUCAGCUCUGGCCCGAUAAGACUUCCAGCAUGCUGUGUGCCGGUGACCUGGAGGGAGGACAAGGCGCUUGCUGGGAUGACAUUGGCGGGCCCCUGGUGUGUCGUCCAGCAGGAGAGGUGGAGAGGAGGUUUGUGCAGGUUGGCAUCCUCAGCGAUGGGUGGGGGUGUGGCCUUAGGGUGGCUGCGCUCUACACACGCGUCUACAGCCACCUGCAGUUCAUCCACGACACCAUUAUGGAGUCAGAAUGCCACAAUUGGCCUCAAUUUGAAGCAUGUUUUGGAUAGACAACUAGUACUGGUAUCAUCUUCAAAAUGAAUUGUCAUGGUAUAUAUUCAUGUGAAGGACAGGUAAACAUACUUGUCCACCCCGCAAAAAUGUAAACAAAAGCUUUCACAGCACAUCACCAGCUAUAUCAGCAAAAGAGAUGAGUUAGCAUGUUAGCAAACUUAUAAUCAGUAACCACUCACGCACACACACACACUCACACCUACACACACACACAAACACAUAUGUACGCACAUACACACACACACACACACAC